ACAGUCUUCCUGGUAUUUUUGUUUUUAUUUCUGAUGAUCAGGGAUGGCGGCUUUUAAAAAUCACAUUGGAAUCCUCACAAGUAGUUAGACUUCUGAACAAGGGUUGAAAUUUCUCCUCUAGCCAAAACCCAAAAAGGCCAUUCAAAGAUUUACUUUGGAUUGUGAAUUACAGAAGA